CUCCCAGCCCAGCGCCAACGAGUUCCCUGUGGACUCGGCCUGGGAACUUUGCUCUGGGCUUUCCGGGACUCUUCCACCGCGGGCGUGACCACAGCACUUUCACUUACAUUUCCUAAUCUGCGAAGUGAUUAUUUCCCAUCUUUAUGAGGCACAAAGGAAACUUGGGUCGAAGGCACUUUAUGGAUGACGCAAAAGAACUUGCGUGACUAAGUGUGUGCAAUGAGAAGUUGCGAGUUUUUCCUCUGAAAACAAACAUGGAACACUUAAUUCAUCAAACGUUCAUUUCUUAACAUCGUUUCUACUGGAGGAAUAAUCUGUGCCUUUUUUUUAAACCUCAAAAGUAUGGUUUUUAUGUGCUAGGUGGUCUUCUACAAGGGACUCGCACGCCAAACCAACCAGCAAAAGCAUAGUAUCAGGAGAAGAUGCUCAUCACAUGCCCUUUGGAUUUCUUCUUCUAUGGAGCCACCUAAGAAGUAGUGAAGUACUAAGAUGAGAUUCUGCCUCCCAGGAGAAAAUGGGCCUUCAUUAUCUGCUCUCUAGGGCUCUCCAUUAAACCACGUGCCCUUUCAGACCUUAUCAGUUAUGUAAAAGCAAACCAA
rnacentral:lncRNA from 1 species